rnacentral:rRNA from 1 species
CCCUUAGAUGUUCUGGGCCGCACGCGUGCUACACUGAGUGGAUCAGCGGGUCAGGUUGCGCGAAAGCGUUUCCUAAUCUUUAAAUCCGCUCGUGAUGGGGAUUGACGGUUGCAAUUUUCUGUCAUGAACGAGGAAUACCUUGUAAGCGCGGGUCAUCAUCCCGCGCUGAAUACGUCCCUGCCCUUUGUACACACCGCCCGUCGCUCCUACCGAUUGAGUGGUCCGGUGAGGCUUUGGGAUCUGAGCGGAAAGAGCGUCUCGCUGUUUCUGCUCGGAAAACUCAGUCGAACCUUAUCAUUUAGAGGAAGGAGAAGGCGUAACA